GACGAACGCUGGCGGCGUGCUUAACACAUGCAAGUCGAGCGGUAAGGCCCUUUCGGGGGUACACGAGCGGCGAACGGGUGAGUAACACGUGGGUGACCUGCCCUCAGCUCUGGGAUAAGCCUGGGAAACCGGGUCUAAUACUGGAUAUGACUCCAUGACGCAUGUUGUGGGGUGGAAAGCCUUGUGCGGCUGAGGAUGGGCCCGCGGCCUAUCAGCUUGUUGGUGGGGUGANGGCCUACCAAGGCGACGACGGGUAGCCGGCCUGAGAGGGCGACCGGCCACACUGGGACUGAGACACGGCCCAGACUCCUACGGGAGGCAGCAGUGGGGAAUCUUAGACAAUGGGCGCAAGCCUGAUCCAGCCAUGCCGCGUGGGUGAAGAAGGCCUGGUGUAAG
rnacentral:rRNA from 1 species